UGGGGAAUAUUGCACAAUGGGCGCAAGCCUGAUGCAGCCAUGCCGCGUGUAUGAAGAAGGCCUUCGGGUUGUAAAGUACUUUCAGCGGGGAGGAAGGCGAUAAGGUUAAUAACCUUGUCGAUUGACGUUACCCGCAGAAGAAGCACCGGCUAACUCCGUGCCAGCAGCCGCGGUAAUACGGAGGGUGCAAGCGUUAAUCGGAAUUACUGGGCGUAAAGCGCACGCAGGCGGUCUGUCAAGUCGGAUGUGAAAUCCCCGGGCUCAACCUGGGAACUACAUUCGAAACUGGCAGGCUAGAGUCUUGUAGAGGGGGGUAGAAUUCCAGGUGUAGCGGUGAAAUGCGUAGAGAUCUGGAGGAAUACCGGUGGCGAAGGCGGCCCCCUGGACAAAGACUGACGCUCAGGUGCGAAAGCGUGGGGAGCAAACA
rnacentral:rRNA from 1 species